AUUGAACGCUGGCGGCAUGCCUAACACAUGCAAGUCGAACGGCAGCGCGGGAGCAAUCCUGGCGGCGAGUGGCGAACGGGUGAGUAAUACAUCGGAACGUGCCCAAUCGGGGGGGAGAACGCAGCGAAAGCAGUGCUAAUACCGCAUACGAGCUACGGAUGAAAGCAGGGGAUGGCAAGACAGUGCGCGAAGGGAGCGGCCGAUGGCAGAUUAGGUAGUUGGUGAGGUAAAGGCUCACCAAGCCUUCGAUCUGUAGCUGGUCUGAGAGGACGAGCAGCCACACUGGGACUGAGACGCGGCCCAGGCUCCUACGGGAGGCAGCAGUGGGGAAUUUUGGACAAUGGGCGGAAGCCUGAUCCAGCGAUGCCGCGUGCAGGAUGACGGCCUUCGGGUUGUAAACUGCUUUUGUACGGAGCGAAACGGUCUUUUCUAAUAAAGAAGGCUAAUGACGGUACCGUAAGAAUAAGCACCGGCUAACUACGUG
rnacentral:rRNA from 1 species